UCUACGGGGUGCAGCAGGGGCGAAACCUUUACACUGCACGUCAGUGCGAUAAGGGGAUUCCGAGUGCGAGGGCAUACAGUCCUCGCUUUUGUAGACCGUAGGGUGGUCUACGAAUAAGGGCUGGGCAAGACCGGUGCCAGCCGCCGCGGUAAUACCGGCAGCUCAAGUGAUGACCGAUUUUAUUGGGCCUAAAGCGUCCGUAGCUGGCCGCGUAGGUUCGUCGGGGAAUCCAUCCGCUCAACGGAUGGGCGUCCGGCGAAAACCACGUGGCUUGGGACCGGAAGGCUCGAGGGGUACGUCCGGGGUAGGAGUGAAAUCCCGUAAUCCUGGACGGACCGCCGAUGGCGAAAGCACCUCGAGAAGACGGAUCCGACAGUGAGGGACGAAAGCUAGGGUCUCGAACCGGAUUAGAUACCCGC
rnacentral:rRNA from 1 species